GGGCUAUGGGCAGGGCUGGCAGGAAACAGGCAGGGGAUGGAGGAGCAGCGGGGCCUGCGGGGGAGGUCCUGGGUGGGUUGGCGGGGCCCUUCCAUGCUGGGUUGCCGUGGGGACAGCAACAUCAUACAGGCUGGACCCCAGGACUCCCGCCACCCUUAACUCCUGGGUGAUCACUCUGGGAACAAAAUGGACAUCCCAUCCAAGAGAAAGGGGUAGCUAGAAAAGUUUAAUUCUACUCUGUGCACAAGACCGCGACACCCCGCUCGUAGAAGCUGCGAGGAUCCUCCUUUGUAGCAAUUUCGAAGUCGACGGUGAAGAUGAGGUCUGCACGGGUGAAGUUCAGGUACACGGAACCACCUCAAAGCUUUAUCCUUCUGAUACAAAAUGAAGUCUUACAAAGUUGAAAACUAAAUGCAGCCCCCAAAAAGGAAUUCACUCUUGAAUGCAGUGUU
rnacentral:antisense_RNA from 1 species